GCAUAGCUUCUCACAAUUUCAUCGUCUCCAAAGAAUUAUCCUUCACUGAAGAACCCCCACCAGCAUUGGUUGAAGAACUUAUGUAAGGAAUUUCCCUUCAUUUAUUCAAUCAGUCUUAGAUCUGCAUUUCAUUUUGAUGACUUAUGGGUUAGGACUGUGGAAAAAGCUUCAGGUCUGAGGAAGGUUGUUCCAGGGGCAGGGACCUUGUUUUCUAGAGAAAAGAAGCACACGCUCUAUGGACCUAAUUAGAUAUGCUAGGGAUGUUUUGUGUCUUAUUUCAACCAGGCACCUGUAACCAACGAAGCUUUUAUCUCUGUCUCCUGCUAUCUAUGCAGGUGAGUCUGAUAGUCUUGCACACCUGGUAUAUUAUUUAAAAGCUAAUUCCCAAUUAUACAACCAUUUCAAUUGGAAGACCACAAGUAGGAGAUGAGCACAAUAGAACAGUAGGAAUCAGUCUGGCCCCUGUGAGCACAGGGUACUGGAAAAGAUAGACCUGGGGUCUGAUUCAGAAAUGCUUUUCUUAACCUGCUAUACUUUUGGAACAUCCUGCUCAUGAUUCCCAGCUACUGGUUAUAUAUUUAUCAUUGUAAAAAGUCAUUGAUCACCCUAUACUUCAUGAAUGUUUCUGAUUCCAUCUCACAGAUGGCAAAAUCUCGGGUUAAAGCCCAAUUUCUGCUCCCCUCCUUCUUUAAAAAUACAGCAGGUGUUACUUUUCUCAUCUUUAUUUAUUCAUUCAUAAUUUUGGUACCCUAAUUGCCGUCUUUCAAAAUAUCAAGGAAGAGUUGCUUUUUUCCAGAUGUGACUAAGAAAGUAUUAUGUAGAAAUUGUUCACCUGAGACUCACCACUAUCUUCCUUCAAAUCUGAUUUCUGAUGAUAAGCAAGCAAACAAACAAAAAGCUCAUUUUCUCCUUGUUUGGUGUGAUUUCAUUGUUUUCUACAUCUCUGAUAUGUUCAGAAAAACUUCAUAAGGCACUCUGUACCAAAGUGUCAGGGAACUGCCAUCGGACGGAAGGGAGGUGAAAGGGCUCACACAGGUUGGGAGAGACUCAGCAGCUGAAGAGGGAACCAGUAGGGGGAGAGGAGCUGAGCGGAGGGAAAGUGAGCUGGAGGGAUGGCUCAGAGACACUUCCAGCGAAAACAGUGGGGAGGUUUCAGGACCUCCUGUAGGGACACCCACUCCUCGCCGGAAACUGACACGCAGAGAGUCCAGAAGACGUGUUUCCGUUAAGGAGCUUUUAUGUUGGAAGCGAUUCCAAGCAACCACUGUCGGAAUCUGCUAGUGACUAGAGGAGCCAUGUCUGAGGGCUCCGUCACAGACAGAGGUUUGUGGACUUGAACAAACUCUGAGGGGAUACGAUUUUACGCACAAGCAGCUCAUCAUCCCAUCACAGCAUUCCGACAGUCCUUGAAAGCAGCUUGUGCAGGAGAAGGCAUCAUGAGCAACCCAGCCGGAACCGGAGAAGCAGGAGCUGGAGCGGGUCCAAGCCUGGAAGAAAGGUACCGGGUGUUGGAGGUCCAGCUAGCGAUGCAGACGGCGAGGCUUGAGGAGAGGAGGGCUCAGGAUGCAGACAAAAGGGAAAGCCACCCAGCUCGCCAGAAAGGUACCAGGAUUGGUGCAGAAGUUUGGGGGGGAGCCCAAAGACUAUCAUGGCUUUCGGACAGAGAUGCAAUAUGCCCUCAAUCUGCAGUUUGAUGAAUUCCCUGACGAGGAAUCACGAGUGGCUUUCGUGAUUGAGCAUCUUGAAAAGGGCGAGAGACUGGGUUAGACCCCUGAUGGCAGCGAAUAGUGACGUCCUAAAGGACACGAUGAAGUUCUUUCGCGCCAUGGAUCUGAUGUUUUCCAGCGAUAUUGAACAGGGAGUGGUGCGCAGACAGUUAAUGGCUUGCAAACAGGGGAGCCGAUCUGUCCGUGAGUACUGGACUGAGUUCACCAUGCUGGUUCACAGAUUGGGGUGGGACUUAUCGGCGGAACCCAUUCAAAUGCUCUUUGAAGAAGGGCUUUCUUCGGCUGUGAAAGACGAACUUUCCCGGGCGCCCAGGGCGGAGUCUAUGGACCAGCUGACCAAAUCAGCGCUGACCAUAGGAGCGCGCCAGGAGGCGAGAGCAUUGGAGAGGCGGGAAGGGAGGGGAACGUUGGAAGGAGUUCCGCAUUCCAGACAUUCCAGAGCCAACUUUCCCGCCGGCAGAGCCGAUGGAAAUCGGAACAGCGCGCGCGCGCAGUUUCAAAGCCCAGUGAGGGGGAAAGAAGGAGGAAAAGGCGCCCGGAAAUGCUAUCUCUGCCAACAGCCAGGUCACUUUGCCAGAGUCUGCCCCCAGAGGAAGGAAUGGCAAGGGAUGGUAGGAGCUGUGGAGGGAAGAGAGGAAGAAAUACCGGAGCAAGUAACAGCCAACGCCUGGCUGCCACUGUCAGGGCACAGCAGCCAGGCCAAAGAGCAGUGAGAGUGCCCACGCCAGAACCUCCUAAACCCGCCCUAGUGAUAGAAGUGACGCUAGAGCUGCCAAACGGACACCCUCUAAAGAUAAAGGCGCUGUUGGACUCAGGCAGCUCCUGCAAUUUCAUGAGCAAAGAGUUUGCAGCUGAACACCAGAUACAGAUGAUCCCUUUAAGCAACCCCUGCAGGUGACCACGAUCGAUGGCAGGGAGCUGUUGGGAGGAGAAGUCAGCUUGCAGACCGUCCCAAUGAUAAUGAAGGUAGCAAGGCACACCGAACUGAUAGCUUUUAAUGUGGCCACCUUGGGAGGAGCUCCCAUUAUAUUGGGGAUGAGCUGGCUAGCGUUACAUGAUCCGCUGGUGGGCUGGCAUCAGAGAGUGGUUUCUUUUGGUUCAGCACAUUGCUUAGAACACUGCAAAGAGGGAAAGGGUUUGGCAGGGGCCCAAGCCACCCUAGCAGGGACUGAAGUAACGGAGAACGUGAAGGUACCACGACAAUAUGCAGAUCUCCGUGACGUCUUCAGCGAAAGGAAGCUGACCAACUACCCCGCAUAGACCCUUUGACUGUCAAAUCAAUUUACUCCCUGGGGCACAGCUCCCUGUAGGCAAGCUGUACGCCAUGUCAGACAGAGAGAUGCAGGAGCUAAGAGAGUUCAUUGACAAGAACCUGAAGAGAGGGUUCAUCAGAGAGUCCAGGGCGGUGGGGGCAGCCCAGUGUUUUUGUGGAUAAAAAAACACGAACAAGCCGAGGCUGGUGUGUGACUUCAGGGCCUUAAAUGCAGUGUCAGAACCAGUGGCCUUCCCUAUGCCCAGGAUUGACGACAUUUUGACAAGGGUGCGGAAGGGAAAGAUUUUCACAAAGCUGGACCUAAGGGGGGCGUACAACCUGGUACGAAUAAGGAAGGGGAUGAAUGGAAAACCACCAUGUUCACCCCUUUAGGGGCAUUUGAAUAUUUGGUUAUGCCCUUCGGCCUACAAGCAGGCUCCGCAACCUUUCAAUCGUUUAUGAACCACGUCCUGGGGCCUUUGCUUUACAAGAAUUGUGUGGCCUUUUUAGACGACGUGUUGGUGUAUUCUGAGAAUGAGGAGCAGCAUGUGAGAGACGUCAGAGAAGUGUUGAGCAGGCUGCAAGCCAACCAGCUGUGGGUGAAACUGGAGAAGUGUCAGUUUCAUACCAAGGAGGUGGAAUUCCUGGGGUAUCGCCUGUCAGACAAGGGAUUGGCCAUGGAUCCCGGCAAGGUCCAGGCGGUGCUGGAAUGGAAAACACCCAAAACAAGGAAGGAUGUGCAGAGGUUCCUAGGAUUUGGGAACUUCUAUCGUAAGUUCAUCCGAAACUUUGCCCACCUGACGGCGCCCAUUACGGACUGUCUCAGCAGUAAGAAGAAGUUCGUUUGGACUGAGGAGGCGGAGCGAGCAUUUGAGGAACUAAAAAGGGCCUUCGCCUCGGAACAACAACUCCUGCAUGUGGAUUUACAAAACCGAUGAGAGUGGAAACUGACGCAUCAGACAGAGCGAUUGGGGCGGUGCUUCUGCAGCCAGGGAAGGAGGAGUCAGAGUGGAGACCGUGUGCCUUUUUUCGCGAAAGCUGAACAAAUCCGAGAGGAACUACACGGUGUAUGACCGAGAACUACUAGCCAUUCAUGAGGCGUUCCGGAGAUGGAGGCACCUGCUAAUUGGCGCACAACAUAAGGUGCAAGUGUGCACUGACCACAAGAACCUAGAGUAUUGGAGGACGGCACGAGUGCUCAACCAACGGCAAGUGAGAUGGGCCCAGGAGUUCUCCAAAUUUAACUUUGAGAUUUGUUACGUGCCAGGCCCAGAGAACAUUAGGGCGGACGCUCUCUCACGCAAACCUGAAUAUUUGGAGGGGGAGGGAGCACCCGAAGAGAGACAUGUCAUUCCAGAGGACCGCUGGGUGUGUGGGGCGGCAUUGGUGGGACAAAGAGAACUGGUAGAGGAAACAGAGAAUGAUGAAUACGCCCAGAAUAAGCUCAGAGGUCUUAGGGGUGAGGGAGAGGAACCAGGGGUUUCGAGGAAAGAAAUGGAGCUUUGUAUUACAAAGGGGCACUGUAUAUCCCUGAAGGAGACUUAAGGGGGAGGGUACUCAAGCAGUUGCACGACAGCCCUACGGCGGGGCAUUUUGGACAACACAAAACCAUGUGGUUGGUCACCAGGGAGUUUUGGUGGCCCAAGGUGAGGGAAGAUGUACGUGAGUAUGUAAGAGGGUGCGAGCAAUGCCAGCGAGCCAAAGGGGAAAGGCGGGCGCCGGCGGGGCUAUUAGAACCCUUACCAACCCCAGAACGACCUUGGGAGGCAGUGUCGAUAGAUUUUAUGACUGAUCUGCCGAAGUCCAAAGGGAAAACAGCCAUCAUGGUGGUGGUGGACCUACUAACAAAGAUGUGCCACUUUGUAGCUUGCUCGCAUGCAGUCACGGCGGAAGAGACAGCGAAGUUAUUUGUAGAACACAUUUUUAGGUUGCACGGGGUGCCAUUGAGGGUGGUCUCAGACCGAGGAAAACAAUUUACUUCCAGGUUCUGGAGGAAGCUCAUGAGCUUACUGCAGGUGGAGGUCAAUUUUUCGACUGCCCGGCACCCUGAAACCAACGGGCAGGCGGAAAGAGCAAACGGUGUCCUCCAGCAAUACCUGAGGUGUUAUGUCAAUGAUAGAGAGAAUGACUGGGUAGAAAAGUUGGCGCUGGCGGAAUUUGCCUACAACAAUGCCGAGAAUGUGUCCACAGGGAUGAGCCCCUUCUUGGCUAAUUAUGGGUGUCAUCCCAGGGCUUUCCCAGGGGAGAUGGGGAGAGAUGGAGCGUCCCGGCAGCCGAGCAUUUUGUAGAAGAAAUGGAAGCAAUCCAUUGUCAGCUCCAACUCAACUUAGAAAGGGCGAAGGAAGAAUACAAGAGGCAGGCAGACAAGAACCGAAGGGAAGGUGAAACCAUAAGGGUGGGAGAUAGGGUGUGGCUGUCAACCCAAGGGUUGCCGUUCAAAGGAGGUUGUAAGAAAUUAAGACCCAGGAGGUUGGGUCCCUUUGAGGUCAUUCAACAGGUCAACCCAGUGGCUUUCAGGCUCCGGUUACCCAACCACAUGAAACUGCACCCAGUAUUUCACAGGUCGUUACUGUCACCGUACGAAGGGGACGAGAAGGGAUGGCCACUCGGGGACCGGUCAUAGAAGAAAGAGAAUGCAGCAGCCAUGUGGCAGAAAUCCUCGACGCCAGGUGGAAGGGGAAUCAGGUGGAGUAUUUGGUAGCGUGGGAAGGAGAACCGAGUCAGAAAACACUUGGGUAAUGGCCGAAGAUAUCAAUGACGAGGUAUUGAUAGAAACGUUCCAUCAAAGGUUCCCAAGGAAACCUCAGCCUGUGGAGAGGUUCCGGAGGGAAUACUUUGGGACCACUGAUGAGGAGGAGGAGUUGGAAGGCUUCCCGGACUCGGAAGGGGAAGGGAGAUGGACUCUGAGGAGGAGGAGUACUUCGAGACCAGGAACCGCAACAGGUGGAGAGAAGUGUUCGAGACAUCGGAAGAUGAAGGAAGUUCAUUCCGGGUUUUGCCUCCUCACCGCCCGUAGAGGAGGGGCGAGAGGGGGUGAAGGGGGCCCUGGAGGGGAGGUGGAUGUCAGGGAACUGCCAUCGGACGGAAGGGAGGUGAAAGGGCUCACACAGGUUGGGAGAGACUCAGCAGCUGAAGAGGGAACCAGUAGGGGAGAGGAGCUGAGCGGAGGGAAAGUGAGCUGGAGGGAUGGCUCAGAGACACUUCCAGCGAAAACAGUGGGGAGGUUUCAGGACCUCCUGUAGGGACACCCACUCCUCGCCGGAAACUGACACGCAGAGAGUCCAGAAGACGUGUUUCCGUUAAGGAGCUUUUAUGUUGGAAGCGAUUCCAAAGCAACCACUGUCGGAAUCUGCUAGUGACUAGAGGAGCCAUGUCUGAGGGGCUCCGUCACAGACAGAGGUUUGUGGACUUGAACAAACUCUGAGGGGAUACGAUUUUACGCACAAGCAGCUCAUCAUCCCAUCACACAAAGGCAUUUAAUUUAGAGUAAGAAUAUAACUGGAAUAAAUGAAUAUUUGUUAGAGUUAAAUACUAAAUAGCACCUCUUAUUGUGUUUAGAUUAUAUGUUUUUAUAUAACACUUUAAAUUUUGAAGGUCAUUACCAAGAAAAUGUCAUUUUGAAGAAAAGUCAGGCUGUGCAAAUUUUUUUUUAUUUAGUUAUAAAAAUGUUUAUAUACCACUGUGUCAUAAAAAUAUACAUCAAAGUAGGUUACAGCUAUAAAACAUAAAACUGUACAAUAAAGGCUAGCAUACAGUUCUGAAGAUGAACACUGAUGCUGUUUAGUUCUGUCAUCUCUGCACAUAUAGGUAUAGGCAAUAUCAUUUCCUGAAGAUUAUCACUCUGGUAGCUGCACCUUUGUGUAGACAAUGUUAUGCCAAAGAUUACAUCAAGGAAUGUAUUGUGUUGACACCUGCCAUCUUGGGAGACAGUGGAAGAGUGUGCCAUGAAGAAAGAAGUUGUGUAAAUACUAAAAUAUAUAACAAUAUUUAAAGAAGCUUACACGUAACAUAGUUGUAUUUUUUAGAAGCUUAACAGAAUGUAAUUCUUGUUCUAGUGUAGUGCCGAAGCAUUAUCAACACAUCCUAGCCUUGGCAUUCGCAGUCAAGGAGAUCAAUGAAAACCUCCACCUCUUACCCAAUGUUACCUUGGGCUUCCACAUCUAUGACAGCUAUUUCAAUGGAAAGUGGACCUUUCAUGCCACAAUGCUCCUGAUAUCUACACUAAACAGAUUUUCCCCCAACUACAAAUGUGGCAGUCAGGAUGACCUGAUAGCAGUUAUUGGUGGGUUGGACUCUCCAGUCUCUCUUCAUGUGGCAACAAUCUUGGAUCAAUAUAAAAUUCCACAGGUAGUGUGUGUGUGAAACAUGCAGUUUUGAACAUCUUUCAUACCUGCUUUAUCCUUCCAGAUUCCAUUUCAUUGUUUAUUGACAUAAAUGUGUAAAAUGAAGGUAAUGAGGUAGACGUGAUCUUUUCUGUACCUUUCAUGUCCAGAUCAGGAGAAACACCCAUUAGGGUUUAUUCGUUUUGUGUUUGGUUGUUCAUAAAUGGGAAUCCAUAAAAGGCUGAGCUGAGAUUCAUGAAAAUAUUCUUCUGGGUACUUGUGCAGAUUAAACAGAAGAACAGAAGAUCUACAGCAUCUAGCUAAAUUUGGAUGAGUGAAAUUCAGUGUUUUAAUUCAUUCUCCUUUUUGCCAUCUGUUAUACACAUUAUUGUGCCAGGAUAGGAGGGGAGCCAUAUAUGUAUGUUGAAGUUCUUAUUCUAGACUGGACCACAUGUAGGAAGGUGACCCAUUUUCAAAAGUAUGUAGAUCCUGAUUUUCAUUGAACUGAGCAAGAAGCUCCAUACUUGAGUAACUUAAAUACAGGUAAGGCUAGGUGGUGAGAAAUGUGUGCUGUUUAAAGUACUUAUACAUUAUUUAGGUAUUGUGUUUAUUACUAUCUAUUUAUUUAUUUCCACUUAUUAAUCUUUUCCUAUGAAACAUCUCAAAGUCAUCUAACAAUAAAAAUAUUCAACAAUCAAAUCAUGUAUACAAGUUCAACAUAUAAAAUGGAAACUAAAAUCAUUACAUGCAUAAAAACAAUUUAAAACCCAACACGGAUAAAGAUAGGGAUAAACAUCUCCACUUAAAAGACUGAUUGAAAAUGGAAAAUUUCCAGUAGGUGCCAAACAGAUAACAGUGAUGCCACCUAUCUGAUAUGUAAUGGGAAGAAGCUAGGUUGUGAAAAUACAGAUAUCAGGUGUCAAAAGCCAGGGUAAAAUGAUGUGUCUUCAGCUCUCAGUGUAAACUACAUACUGAAUUUGCCAGGUGCACCUCUAUGGGGAGGGAGACCCACAACUUAGGGGCUACCAAAGAGAAUGCCCUUUCCCAUGCCACCAGUCCCAGGUUUUUGAGAUGGUAGAACAAGCAAGAUGGACCACACUGCCAAUCUUAAUACCCAAGUGGGACUGUAGGGAAGGAGGCAGUCUUUAUAAUAUUUGGGGUCUAAGACAUUUAUGGCUUUAAAUAUUAGCUUGAGCACCUUAAAUAGAACCAAGAAAUGAAUGGGCAAUAAGCAAACAAACUUAAUUUAUAUUGACAAUUGUGUUGUAUUGUGUUUAAAACAAGUUUUUGGUUAAAGGUGUGAGACAAGGACUCCGCAGUGCAGUUGUUCCCUCAGCCAGUUCUCCCCAGCUUCCCUCUGCAAGCUGGACAUAAGCUAGCCACCAUUUGAUCAGUAUAAGGCCCCUCUUUGCAGCAUGAAAAUAACAACAUUCACUUGCUUGCCAGGUUGUUGUAAUUUCUGCUUGAAUAGUGUAUGUGCUGAACUUUGGACAUUCAUAUUUCUCAAUAUUGUUGUUACUAUUAUCAUCAUCACACACCCCUCCAUUCCAUAUCUCUCUUUAGUUAAUAUAUGGCCCAGCUCCAUUGAGGCAUGACAAAGCCUCAGGCCUUUUGUUCUACCAGCUGGUCCCUGAGGAAGCCCUUCAGUACGAAGGGAUUGUCUCUUUGCUUCUGCAUUUCUGGUGGACGUGGAUUGGGAUAAUUGUGAUGGAUAAUGACAGUGGAGAAAGAUUUCUGCAAAGUGUGCUUCCAGUGUUCUCCCAGAAUGGCAUCUGUUUUGCCUUCAUAGAGAGAUUACCCAUGUUAUCCUUCGUCACUGAAAUGGGAAGCAUGAUGGAAGAUGGGGCAAGAAUACAUGAUAAAAUCUUGGACUCUCAAACAAAUGUAUUGGUGGCUUCUGGAGAAUCCUAUACUUUGGUUUUUUUGAGAUGGUUGCCAUAUUUGUCAAAUCUAGAUGUGUCUAAAAAACCUAAAGGCAAAGUAUGGAUAAUGACAGCCCAGAUGGAGCUUGUCUCAUUUGUCUAUCAGAGGACUUGGGAGACACAAAUGCUGCAUGGUGCUCUGUCCUUCACAUUUCACUCCAAUAAUCUAUCAGGAUUUAAAACUUUCCUUGAGAGCAGAAGCCCUUCCAGCACAAAAGGUGAUGGUUUUAUCAGGCACUUCUGGGAACAGGCCUUCGACUGUAUAUUCCAAAAUACCACUGUUGACGAGGUGCAAGGGAACAUUUGCACAGGGGAUGAAAAGCUGGAGAGCCUUCCUGGCACUUAUUUUGAAAUGAGCAUGACUGGCCACAGCUACAGUAUCUAUAAUGCUGUCUAUGUCAUGGCACAUACUCUACAAACUGUGUCUUCAUCUCGACUUAAAAAGAGGGCAAUGGUGGAUAGUGGAAGAUGGAUAGUUCAGACUCAAGAUUUGUGGCAGGUAAUGGGUUGAUAUUUUAUCCAACAUUGUAUUUUAUCCUGUGUGUUAAGAAAGACCCCAAAGAACCUUUUUCAUCAUGGCAUUUACAUCUCCCUUCCUCUUACCUUGAAAUGGAAAAUAGUUUUUUCUGCCUUUAUCUGUGGAGACUGAUGCAAUUUUGUUGAUCUGUCUUCCUCCACUCAAAACCCACCCAUGCCAUCACUGAACUGAUGGUAUUGAAUUUAGUCUGAAAGAUCCCACUAAAGAAUGUUCUAAACUCUUGCCUUUUCUUUCCAUUCUAGCUGCAUCAUUUUCUGAGAAGCAUUUCAUUUAACAACAGUGCUGGGGACAUGAUUUCUUUUGACAAGAAUGGGGUGCUUGUUGCUGGAUUUGAUAUUAUCAACUGGAUUAUUUUCUCCAACCAAUCCUUUCAGGGGAUGAAGGUUGGGACAGUGGAUCCCCAGGUUUCUUCCGACCAACUAUUCACCAUCAAUGAAGAUGCUGUGACAUGGCAUACCUGGUUUAACCAGGUAGAAUCUAAUUGUAUGGAAUUUAGAUUGACUUCCAGGUUUAAUGAGCACCGACACUGUGUUCUGAUAUGUAAAAUGAUUUUUAGUGGACAAUGAAUGACUGCUCGAAAAGAGAGUGUGUUAAUUGAGAAGGUUAAAAAAACCCACAGAAAUAUAUAAAAUACUAUAUUAAAUUAUCUUCCAAAGGUUCUGCCCUUUUGAUAUUAUUGACUGAGGAAUUUCAAUCAAUUCUGCCUUGCUGUGAAAAAAUAACAACAGUGGAUAAUUUAAAAGAAAACAGGAAACAAGUCAACCAUUACCAAUAUGAUGGUAUAGAAAAAUGUGGGGAAACAUCACUAUAGUAACAUUAAAAAAGGCCCCAGUAUAAGGAUUCCAAGCUCCUCAUUCUCACUUUGUUCUUUUUGUUUUAUGGAUUCAGCACAAAAUAUUUCUUGUACUGUAUCCUUCAUGACUUAGGUGAGGCCUAUUUCUGUGUGCAGUGAAAGCUGCAAUCCUGGCUCUAGCAAGAAAGUGAAGGAGGGG